rnacentral:rRNA from 1 species
GAUGAACGCUGGCGGCGUGCCUAAUACAUGCAAGUCGAGCGAACAGACGAGGAGCUUGUUCCUUUGACGUUUGCGGCGGACGGGUGUGUAACACGUGGAUAACCUAUCGAUACGGCUGGGAUCAAUUCGGGAAACUGGCUCUUAUCCCGGAAAAUGUACUGUACCGCUAGGUUCACUAGUAAAGUACGACUUUGCCGUUACUUAUUGAUGGAUCCGCGCCGCAUUAGCUAGUUGGUAUGGUAACGGCUUACCAAGGCAACGGUGAGCAGCCGACCUGGGAGGGGGUCCGGCCAAACGGGAACGGGGAAACGGUCCAGACUCCUACGGGAGGCGGCGGAAGGGAAUCUUGCGCAAUGGGCGAAAGCUUGACGGAGCAACGCCGCGUGAGUAAUGAAGGUCUUCGGAUCGUAAAACUCUGUUAUUGAGGAGGAACAAAUUUGUAAGUAACUAUGCACGUCUUGACGGUACCUAAUCAGAAAGCCACGGCUAACUACGUG